GACUAACGCUGGCGGCGUGCCUAACACAUGCAAGUCGAACGAGGUAGCAAUACCUAGUGGCAGACGGGUGAGUAACGCGUAGAUAAUGUGCCCUCUUGCGGGGGAUACCGUUUCGAAAGGAACGUUAAUACCGCAUAACACGAAGCCGAGGCAUCUCGGAUUCGUCAAACUUCCGGGGCGGAGGAGCAGUCUGCGUUCUAUCAGCUAGUUGGUGGGGUAAUGGCCUACCAAGGCGACGACGGAUAACUGGUCUGAGAGGAUGAUCAGUCACACUGGAACUGAGACACGGUCCAGACUCCUACGGGAGGCAGCAGUGAGGAAUAUUGCGCAAUGGGCGAAAGCCUGACGCAGCGACGCCGCGUGGAGGAUGAAGG
rnacentral:rRNA from 1 species